CACCGCGGUUAGACGAGAGGCCCAAGUUGAUAGACACCGGCGUAAAGAGUGGUUAAGACAAAUUCUAAACUAAAGCCGAAUGCCCCCUAAGCUGUUAUACGCACACAGAGGUAAGAAGACCAAUCACGAAAGUGGCUUUAUUUCCCUGAACCCACGAAAGCCAAGACA
rnacentral:rRNA from 2 species